rnacentral:misc_RNA from 1 species
CCGGCUCCAUGGAUUGACCUUUUCCAUGUUUUCCUUCUCCGUGCAAACUGUCAAGGUUGUAAUUUCGUCACCAUGCAUGACAUGUUUAUCUAUAUCGUGUAAUAGUUCAACCACAAAGCAGAACUCCACAGUACAACGCCAUGAAUGAUAUUAUCAUGGAGGAGGUCCUUCCUCCAUGAUAUUAAGGCAGCUUCUGAGAGGGGACUGCGCCCGUUGCAACCCACCAGUGACCCGGAACGUGAUCAGGUGAUUUUGCCAAAUUAACGCAGAGUCACCAUGGGCCAAACUGUCUCCGGACUCAUCCAGCCAUGGAUCCAACCUUGGGCAGAGUAUUUCUUCGACUGGAAACUUCAACGCUACAUUUCCAAGUUGAAGCCGGAAGAUCUUAGAUUAUGGGAAGUGUACGAUUUCGAGGGCAUACCUCUCAGGCCGGAUGUUCUCCCGAGCACGAUGGAUGAGCUGAAGACACUGGAGAUCCGACAGGAUGACGUGUUCAUUGUCACCUAUACCAAAGCAGCUGAUCACUACAUUUCAAAGAGGAUCUCCGAGCAUGGGAAGUGUACGAUUACGAGGGCGUGGUUCUCAGGCUGGAUAUCCGCCCGAGCACGAUGGAUGAGCUAAAGACACUGGAGAUCCGACAGGAUGACGUGUUCAUCGUCACCUAUGCCAAAGCAGGCACAACACAGGAGAAAAUGUCCUGUGUACUUCAUGAUAGAAACUUGGAGAUGAUCAACAAAAGACAUACAAUGAAAAGGGUCACUUUCUUGGAAAUGAACAUGGGAGGCACGGU